CCCCCGCUAAUUUGGAACUCAGGGCUCUCAAUCUCCAUCUGCUGUGUUGGUGACAAUUGAGAGUCCCUGCUUAAGCUUGAAUAAACGACCCUCAUGUGCUUACAUCGGAAAUGGCCUCCUGGUGGUCUUUGGGACCUUGCAAUCUGGGCACAACACCAGCCACAGUAAGAUACUACUUUACUCCAACUAGAAGAGCUAUUGCCAAGAAGACAAUAGUAAAUGCUGAUCAAGAUAUAGAGAAAAGGGCAGCCUUCUAUGCUGUUGUUAGAAAUGUAAACUAGUACAACCACUGAGGAGAACAGAUUGAGGUUCCUCAAAAAAUUAAAAGUAGAGUUACCUUAUGACCCAGCGAUCCCACUACUGAGUAUAUAUCUGUGGAGAACACUUUGAAAUAAGAUGGAAUUGUAUAACCCUAAGUGUGCUGUAACCCUAAGUGUGCUGUAACCCUAAAGUGUGCUGUGACUUUAAGAGCGCUGUAACCUAAGUAUGACAUAAUCAUAAGAGUGAUGAAAGUAGAAUCUUAAGUGGUAUGGAACUGAUAAGGGUGUGCCCUGAACUGGACAAGGAGUACCCCCGAACUGGACAGGGUGCGCCCUGAAAUGGACAGUGUGAUAAGUCUGAACCAAUACCACAAGCGCCCAGUUAGAAUAGUAUAAAAGGAGCUGAAGACCCCAAGCAAGUCGACGAUCCAUCCACCGACCAGUCGACCAGUCAAUCUGCUGAUCUGAUUACCAACCGAGACAUCUGCACACCUGAUCCCACUGGAAGGAGCGUCUCCGCCGACCAGACGGGACCAGAGGAUGAGGCAAGCAGAGAGACGGAUAGCCUAACUCCGACUCGACGCCCUUCUUCUACGGAUCGGACCCUCUGACCCUACGGGAGGAAACGUCGCGCUCCCAUAAGGACUUGCGCAGUACAGGUACAGGGACGUGGUAAUUGGCAGACUUAAUAUUGUGUGGUAAUUGUAUUGAAGUGAAUUAUGAUAAGUGUGUGAACUGCCGUCCGUGUCCGAGUCCUCUUUACCCACGGUACCUGCUCACGACAAUAGCCAAAGGGAAUGAAAUCAGUAUGUAGAAAAGGCAUUUUCCCUCCAUGUUUAUUGUACCACCAUUUGCAAGAGCCACAAAGUGGAAACAACUGCAGAGUCCAACAGAUAAUGCAUAAGAAAAAGUGGUAUCACGAUGGUAUGUGAUUCAGCUAUAAAGCAUUAAAUUCUGCCAUUUAUGACAACGUGGAUGGAGUGGGAGAUCAUUUUGCUAAGCCAAGCACAGGUAGAAAAGUACUAUGUGAUCUUAUUCAUAUGUGGAAGCUAAAAAUGCUGACCUCACAGGAACAUAGGGAAAUGGCUAGAGGCAGCCAAGAGUGGAGGAGGGAGGAGUGGCAAAGGCUGGCCCACAAGAACUGAGGGACAGUUGUACAAAAGUAAGAGCUCUGCUAUGCCACUGCACAGAAGAGUUACUAUGGCCCAGCUAUGGAAUACUGAGACAUAAUUCCAUUUUGGCCUCUGGUCACAACUGAGACCUCAAUGAUCCGAGUGAUGCUGUGAUUCUCCAGGACAAGAUUACACCAGGAGACAUUCAUCUGCUGAACACUUUGCUUUCCAAGUGAUGGGUGCAGUUACUGUUCCUCCUGUUGCCUCCUGCAGAGGCACAGUCUUCUAUCAAAGUCCCUAUUUCCUGGACAGGAUUCCAGAUGCUGCAGCCUGUUUGACUCCCAGGAUAUAAUCCAGGAAAGAAUGGUGGGAGACUUGAUGAAUAUGAACAAGAAGGGUGAACCCUAGAAGGAAAGUCCUCAACAGGGCUCUCAACAACAGAGACAAAGGCACAAAACAUUUCUUCUCCCAGCACUGAAGAGUUCUGCAGGAGACUGGCCACAUCUGUAAUGAGGGCAUCCCGGACGGCUUGGAGCUGAGCCAGGCUCUCCAGCCAUAGGAGGGGAGGCCAGAAGGCCAAGAUGCAGAAGGUGCAGCACUGAUGAGCUGACUCCAGCAGCUCAAAGUCCACAGUCAGCUGGCUCCAAAGCAGGGAACAUCACAGAGGAGAAACAGUCCAUGGCAAAGCAGGGCAGACAGAAGGCAGCAAAGCAGUGAAGCAACAGCAGCAGGCCAAGUAGCAACCAAAGUAGCAAGUGAUGACAGCAGCCCGGAACCACUGAGAGAGAGAAAUUGUAUGACCUUGAGAAUUUUAGCAACUGACAUCUAGAUGGCAGAGGCAGGAUGCAAAAAUCAAAAGAAAAAAAUGCAACUUUAAACACUUUUCCAUGCUAACACCUAAGGCUUCUAGGACUCAGCUUCUGAGUUUGGCUGAAGAGGUGGGUAGUAAUGGUAACCUGCUUACAGUGUGCAAGAAUUUUAGGAGAC
rnacentral:lncRNA from 1 species